CAUGCAGUCGAGCGGAACGAGUUAUCAUGAACCUUCGGGGGACGAUAACGGCGUCGAGCGGCGGACGGGUGAGUAAUGCCUAGGAAAUUGCCCUGAUGUGGGGGAUAACCAUUGGAAACGAUGGCUAAUACCGCAUGAUGCCUACGGGCCAAAGAGGGGGACCUUCGGGCCUCUCGCGUCAGGAUAUGCCUAGGUGGGAUUAGCUAGUUGGUGAGGUAAGGGCUCACCAAGGCGACGAUCCCUAGCUGGUCUGAGAGGAUGAUCAGCCACACUGGAACUGAGACACGGUCCAGACUCCUACGGGAGGCAGCAGUGGGGAAUAUUGCACAAUGGGCGCAAGCCUGAUGCAGCCAUGCCGCGUGUGUGAAGAAGGCCUUCGGGUUGUAAAGCACUUUCAGUCGUGAGGAAGGCAGUGUAGUUAAUAGCUGCAUCAUUUGACGUUAGCGACAGAAGAAGCACCGGCUAACUCCGUGCCAGCAGCCGCGGUAAUACGGAGGGUGCGAGCGUUAAUCGGAAUUACUGGGCGUAAAGCGCAUGCAGGUGGUUUGUUAAGUCAGAUGUGAAAGCCCGGGGCUCAACCUCGGAAUUUGCAUUUGAAACUGGCAGACUAGAGUACUGGAGAGGGGGGGUA
rnacentral:rRNA from 1 species